CUAAACAUGGUAUUUAAGACGAGAAUUUCUGCUAUUGUGUUGAAAAACGCAGUGUCCCUGCUUUCUCCCAUGUAUACAUGUUAUUAAACUUGGUAUUAUUUUCUCCUGCUAACCUGUCUUGUUAAUUAUUUGGCCAGCCAUAAAAACCUUAAAGACAAGGGCAGAGGGGGAUUCUCCCUCUUCCCCCGACAGUUUUGGCGUAGUCGGCAGGAUCCACACUGGCUGGCAAGUUGCCUUCUCUGGCUGGAAGACCUGCCUUCUCCCUGGACUACUGCAGAUGAUGAGAUACAGGAAGGCCUGACAAAAGCUGGCAAAAGGUGAGACUUCUUACCAUGUCAGCCUCCCGGAAUCUAUAUCUGCGGGGUCCGGCGGAAGGAAGUGAUAAGACUCAACAUGAUCUCAGCUAUCCAUACUGAUAAUCAGAGGACCUGGUUUCAAAGAAGAAUGCAGACCGGAUGUUCAAGCAGAAGCUGCAAACGUUUCGUGAUUAUUUCUGGUAUUGCAUUUUUCAUUGUUCGCGGAUUGAUGGCCAUUUAUCAAAGACACUGCGUGUCAGAGGAAAUCGCCACUACCCAACUAGAAGAAUUAUGGGAGUGUAUAUUAACCAGGAUCAAGCUGAGGAUUGAGCAAUGAAGAAAGCAACCGACACCACCUCAGUAUGAUCUUACAUUAAACCUGGAAAUCUUUGGGUCUUUGGGCCUUUUUAAAGUCUCUUGAACAUUUUUACAUAGAAAUAAAUUCUGGCUUUAAAAGCUAUUGUCUGCU